UUCUAACCGCAUCAGUGGGAAGAGCCGGCCAAUUAUAUUACGUGACAAUUUCAUUGUAACUUUUGGCCUGUAGUUCGGCUCUUACCCCUGUCAGAUUAUUUUAGUUCCCUUUUGCAGUUUUAUUUCUUCACCCAACAACAAUUCUUGGGUGUCUAUUACGCGCAGGCGCUGUCUGGGCCCUGAGGAUACAGCAGAGGGUAAGGUCGGGGAUUGGAAGGGAUCCUGCAUCAACGUGUCCUUGACUUUGUGGCAGCAGACUUCCUUCCCAGUUUCCGAAUUAUGUUUGUCAGCCAUCUUGUUUCACCUGCCUGGUACCUCGCGUCAACACCAUUUUCUACUCAAAUCUGCACUGCCCUUCCAGGGUCUCCGCGAACUUGGAAACCCAUGUUUCAGAAGCUCCUUGUGGGGCAUCCUUCUGGGUGGAAACCUUGGAGCUAGCUUCACUUUC